AACAGCUUCUGUUGCAGAGCUUUUGACCCUUGGUCAAUUGAAAACCAAAGGAUGUAGCACAGAGCCUCUGAGCUGCCUUCAUCGCCUACAGCUGGGCCAAGGAUGACUCUUGAUGUCUGAAAGAGGAAGAAUUUCCUGAGUUUGCUCUCUGCUCCCGUCCUCUCCCUGCAGACACCUGUGAAUAUCUGCUCCAGGGAGAAAAGAGCUUCUGCUUUCAAGCCCUUUGUGAAGUGCACAAGAUGCUCCAGUGGCUGUGCCGUGCCCUAGGACAGUGCCAAAUGUCUUACACCAACUCUGCUUCUGAACUUGGCUUCUAAUGCGUGGAGGAACCGUGAUGCUGGUACGCUCUUUGGUUAGCCUUUAAUCUUCCGUUUUAACUGGGAGGAAC
rnacentral:lncRNA from 1 species